rnacentral:pre_miRNA from 1 species
AGUAGGGUAGCUGGGUCAAAUGGUGGUUCCAUUUCAAGUUUUCUGAGAAAUCUCCAUACUGCUUUGCAUUAUGGUUGCACCAAUUUGUAUUCCCACCAGCAAU